AUUGAACGCUGGCGGCAGGCCUAACACAUGCAAGUCGAGCGGAUGAAGGGAGCUUGCUCCUGGAUUCAGCGGCGGACGGGUGAGUAAUGCCUAGGAAUCUGCCUGGUAGUGGGGGAUAACGUCCGGAAACGGGCGCUAAUACCGCAUACGUCCUGAGGGAGAAAGUGGGGGAUCUUCGGACCUCACGCUAUCAGAUGAGCCUAGGUCGGAUUAGCUAGUUGGUGGGGUAAAGGCCUACCAAGGCGACGAUCCGUAACUGGUCUGAGAGGAUGAUCAGUCACACUGGAACUGGGACACGGUCCAGACUCCUACGGGAGGCAGCAGUGGGGAAUAUUGGACAAUGGGCGAAAGCCUGGUCCAGCCAUGCCGCGUGUGUGAAGAAGGUCUUCGGAUUGUAAAGCACUUUAAGUUGGGAGGAAGGGCAGUAAGUUAAUACCUUGCUGUUUUGACGUUACCAACAGAAUAAGCACCGGCUAACUUCGUG
rnacentral:rRNA from 1 species